rnacentral:rRNA from 1 species
AUUGAACGCUGGCGGCAGGCCUAACACAUGCAAGUCGAGCGGAUGAAGGGAGCUUGCGCCUGGAUUCAGCGGCGGACGGGUGAGUAAUGCAUAGGAAUCUGCCUGGCAGUGGGGGAUAACGUACGGAAACGGGCGCUAAUACCGCAUACGUUCAGAGGGAGAAAGGGGGGGAUCAAAGGAGCAAGCGGUACCAGAUGAGCCUACGACGGAUUAGCUAGUUGGUGGGGUAAAGGCGUACCAAGGCGACGAUCCGUAGCAGGUCUGAGAGGAUGAUCAGUCACACUGGAACUGAGACACGGUCCAGACUCCUACGGGAGGCAGCAGUAGGGAAUAUUGGACAAUGGGCGAAAGCCUGAUCCAGCCAUGCCGCGUGUGUGAAGAAGGUCUUCGGAUUGUAAAGCACUUUUAGUUGGGAGGAAGGGCAGUAAGUUAAUACCUUGCUGUUUUGACGUUACCUACAGAAUAAGCACCGGCUAACUUCGUG